UACGUAGGGGGCUAGCGUUGUCCGGAAUCAUUGGGCGUAAAGCGCGUGUAGGCGGCUCGCUAAGUCCGCUGUGAAAGUCGAGGGCUCAACCCUCGGAUGCGGGUGGAUACUGCCGGGCUAGAGUACGGAAGAGGCGAGUGGAAUUCCUGGUGUAGCGGUGAAAUGCGCAGAUAUCAGGAGGAACACCAAUUGCGAAGGCAGCUCGCUGGGACGUUACUGACGCUGAGACGCGAAAGCGUGGGGAGCAAACAGG
rnacentral:rRNA from 1 species